rnacentral:lncRNA from 1 species
AGGCUCAGGUAUGUCUUUAUUACCAGUUACAAGAAUGAAUUGGAGUGGCAUGAAGCAUGAGAUAAGCAGACCACUUACAAGACUGUUGCAGUUGUAAAGCAUAGGAUGACAGGACUGGAUUAAGGUUCUUGAGGAUACAAUCAACCAAGGUACACUUUAAAUUAAAGCAGAUAUAUGGAUAAAACAGGAAAAAUACAAGGAUAUUCAAUAUCAACAUUUCCAUUAAGAAUUGUACUGGGGCAUCUGGCCAACAGAAUUCAGAGCCCCAGCCUGUUCAUAAAAAAAAUCAGAUGAAUUUUGUCUGCGGAACAUUCUGCAAAAAUAUCUGACCAGUAAGUAAUCCUCUAAAUAGCCACAGCCAUCAACAGCAAGGAAAGUCUGAGAAAGUGUCACAGCCAAGAGGACCCUAUAAAGACAUGAUGACUAAAUGUAACAUGGUGUCUUCCAUGGGAUCCUGAAACAGAAAAAGGACAUUAGUCCUAGCUACUCCGGAGGCUGAGGCAGGAGGAUCACCUGAGCCCAGGACUUUGAGGCCGCUGUAAGCUAUGAUCAUGCCACUGCACUCCAGCUCAGGCAACAGUGAGACCCGGUCUCAACAAACAAAAGAAAAUAAAAGAAUGGUAGACAAG